UACGGAGGGGGCAAGUGUUACUCAGCAUUAUUGGGCGUAAAGGGUACGUAGGUGGUUUACUAGUUUAAAAGGUAAAAUCCGAGGAUUAAAUUCGGGAGUAAAUUUUAAAAAAGGUAAACUAGAGUAUUUAACGGGAUAAUGGUACUUUUAGUGUAAAGGUGAAAUUUGUUGAUAUUAAAAGGACCCGCAUUUGGCGAAGGCUAUUAUCUGGUAAAUAACUGACACUAAGGUACGAAAGCACAGGGAGCGAAAAGG
rnacentral:rRNA from 1 species